AGAACGAACGUUAGCGGCGCGCCUAACACAUGCAAGUCGAACGCGACUGGGGGCAACUCCAGUUGAGUGGCGCACGGGUGAGUAACACGUAGGUAAUCUCCCCCCGAGUGGCGGAUAACCCUCCGAAAGGAGAGCUAAUACAGCAUGAGACCACGGCUUCGAAAGGAGCUGAGGUCAAAGCGGAGGAUCGCAAGACUUCGCGCUUGGGGAUGAGCCUGCGGCCCAUCAGGUAGUUGGCGGGGUAAUGGCCCACCAAGCCUUAGACGGUAGCUGGUCUGAGAGGAUGAUCAGCCACACUGGAACUG
rnacentral:rRNA from 1 species